ACACGUGUGCGGGCUGAGUCGCCGGGGCCUGGAGGGGGAACCGCGCGCUGCGGCUGCUGCGCUUGCUCCGUCCCCGGACGCCGCUGGCUUGCUUCCCUUGUCAGCUGUGUGGGGACUGGCAGAGGGUGUGAGAGCGGGAAACGACCGGACGAGCGGCGGGGAGCGUCCUGGCAUCCAAAGGCGAAAUGCUUCAUCUCUGGGAUGGAGUAGAGGAGUAGCCUCUGCGGUUGAGUUGCAGUCGUGGGUGCAAGAAGCAGCGCUGAAGCAGAGUGCAGCCCCGGAAUAGGGCGGGAUGGAAUGGCCUGGGCAGUUCAGAAACCCGCGAGGAGUCCAGGGCGGAACAGAGGGAAGAAGGCCAUUUGGAGAUAGAAGCAGGGAUUGGAGUGAUGCAACUGGAAGCCAAGAAACGCCGCAGAAUGCCAGGAGCCAGCAGAAGCUAAGAAAAGGCAAAGAAGGAUUAUUCCAAAGUGCCUUCCGAAGAAGGUUGGCCCUGCCAAAAACCUGAUUUCAGACUUCUAGCCCCCAAAACUGCAAGAGAAUAAAUUUUGUUGUUUCAAGACA
rnacentral:lncRNA from 1 species